AUUGUACUCAGGAGCUGUAGAAACCAAUGUGGCCUUUGGUGAAAGGCCAUGGAAUAAUAUGCCAACAUUCUCAGAGGGGCCCAGCACUGGGAAUGGUACUCUUCAACCAGGCAGGUUUGAACUGCAUGAGUCUGCUUUGUUUGGGGAUUUUCUUCUGCCUCUGCACCCCUGAGACUGCAAGACCAGCUCCUCCUCUUCCUCCUCUGCCUGUUCAAUGUGAAGAUGAUGAGGGGACAACGGUGAGGACGCAGACCGUUAAGACGACUUGCUCCAUUUAGCUGAACUCUAAGGAUGGGAGGAAGCUGGGCUUUAUCCAUCUUUACACUUCUUCCUGUUGAGUCCUAAGGGCCUAGCACAGAACCUGCCUGAUAAGGAGGAUUGAUAAUGCAAGAAGGGUACUCCUGUGGCCACCGAAGGAACCACCAAAGCUCUAGAAUCACAAAGUCCUUCUAGCACAGCCAUGCUCCACACAGAAGAGUUGGAACAGGACAACUGCAGACCUUCGAGCUGGUUAAUUUUACAUUCAGCCCACAUCCUAUUCAUUCUCCAUGUCUGUAUUUUGCACAACUCCUGUGCUAUAAAUGCUUUGACUAUGGAUAGAGCAGCAAUCUUUUAUAUGUAUGAGCUGUUGGUUCUUUCUAACAUUCACACAUACCCAGCCCAAUACUCUGUGCAUAGCUGGUGCUUCAAAAAUGUUUGUUAGUCUACGUUU